GACGUGGGGGCGAGCGUUGUCCGGAAUUACUGGGCGUCAAGCGCGCGUAGGCGGGCUGGCAGGCGGCGUGUGGAAGGCGGGGGCUCAACCCCUGAUCGGCGCGCCGAACCGCCGAGUCUUGGGACGGCGAGGGCAGGUGGAAUGGUCGGAGGAGCGGUGAAAUGCGUAGAGAUCCGGAAGAACACCGGUGGCGAAGGCGGCCCGCUGGCAGUAACUGACGCUGGAG
rnacentral:rRNA from 1 species